rnacentral:ncRNA from 2 species
GGGGGUCGGCUUCGGCUCGGCCCCGGAACGGGAAGAAUAGGGAAGCCGGUGAGAAUCCGGCGCGGGGCCGCCGCUGUAAUCGGCCGGAAGCGCGAGCCGCAGGGCCACUGCCGCAAGGUGGGAAGGCCGCUCGACGCCAGGCCGAGAGCCAGAAGACCUGCCCGUCAGGCUCCUCAUUG